CGGGCGGAGGCGCCGUGAGGGCCCCGCGGCCGCUCCCGGGGUCCCUGAGGGGGCGGCUCUUUCGGGGGCCGCUCCCGCCGGGAGACGCGGGGUUUUUUCUCCUCAAGGGCCUCGGCAAGACCCCUCCGAAGGGUUGGCCCAGGCGACAGGGGCACCGACAGGCUCUCCAGCUGCGGCAGGUGAAGCUGCACCGGCCCGGGGUGUUCCUGGGUGACUUGGCAAGGUGGGCGUGUUUUGUUUCCCUCAGGAGCUACGAGGAAACAGCGACGCUGAAUCACAACUUUUCCUCCCCGAAACAGAGCUUUUGUUUCUGUGGAUCCGCCAGCUUCCAGGCAAGGGUGAAGUUAACCCUUAACAGCGUUUAGUUCAGAGCGUGGUUGAGAACACGGGACAUGUGAGCAGUCUAAUUCACACGCCCAGGAUGACACCUUAAACUUGAGCAACUUGAGGAGCUUGGAAUGCAGGCAAAUCCCAAGUCGUGCCAAUGGAAACUCUAGUGGUGAGUGGAAGCUGAGCUGUUAAUUGCAACCCUUGAAUGUAUGAUGCAGAGGAAAGGGUAAAUACACAGCUGAUAUCACUUUGGAACAGUGAGAUGCUUCUGCAUCACUUCAAAUUUGGACAACUUUGACAAACCAGCUGAGCAGUAUGUUCACCUCAUCCUUUGCCAGAUGGUAUUUACUGAAGGAAUUCAGUUGAUUUUGAAGGAGCUCGACUUGUUCUGGGGUGCAACUGUAGUAUUAUUUUUUUGUUAAAAAAAAGGCUUCCACAUCAAAAUAGAGUGUGUGAAUGGAAGUAUGGAUCACAGAUGCUAUUAAACAAUAAAAACUGGUAAAACUUC